AUUGAACGCUGGCGGCAUGCUUUACACAUGCAAGUCGAACGCGAAAGGGGGCAACCCUGAGUAGAGUGGCGAACGGGUGAGUAAUGCAUCGGAACGUGUCCUGUAGCGGGGGACAACCCCGAGAAAUCGGGGCUAAUACCGCAUACGUCCUACGGGAGAAAGUGGGGACCCAAGGGUAACUGAGGGCCUCACACUAUAGGGGCGGCCGAUGCCAGAUUAGCUAGUUGGUGGGGUAAAGGCUCACCAAGGCGACGAUCCGUAGCUGGUCUGAGAGGAUGAUCAGCCACACUGGGACUGAGACACGGCCCAGACUCCUACGGGAGGCAGCAGUGGGGAAUUUUGGACAAUGGGCGCAAGCCUGAUCCAGCCAUGCCGCGUGAGUGAAGAAGGCCUUCGGGUUGUAAAGCUCUUUCGGCCGGGACGAAAUCGCUCUCGCUAAUACCGGGAGUGGAUGACUGUACCGGAAUAAGAAGCACCGGCUAACUACGUGCCAGCCGCCGCGGUAAGAC
rnacentral:rRNA from 1 species